AAGUGAAAUAUCUCGCUGCGCUCGAUGUGAAAUAAUUUGCGCGAGCGCAAAUUGUGAAAUAUUGCUCCUGCGUCGCAAUGUGAAAUAAAAU
rnacentral:ncRNA from 2 species